GUCUUUGUAGUAUAAUUUAAUUACCCCGGUCUUGUAAACCAGGAAUGGAGAAUACCCGCUCCCUAAGACA
rnacentral:tRNA from 1 species